CGACCGGCGCACGGGUGAGUAACGCGUAUGCAACCUGCCCGUUUCAGCGGGAUAACCCGGAGAAAUCCGGCCUAAUACCGCAUGUGGCCGAGGGGAGGCAUCUUCUUUUCGGCCAAAGGAGGCGACUCCGGAGACGGAUGGGCAUGCGUGACAUUAGCUAGUUGGCGGGGUAACGGCCCACCAAGGCGACGAUGUCUAGGGGUUCUGAGAGGAAGGUCCCCCACACUGGUACUGAGACACGGACCAGACUCCUACGGAAGGCAGCAG
rnacentral:rRNA from 1 species